UACAGAGGGGGCAAGCGUUGUUCGGAAUUAUUGGGCGUAAAGGGUGCGUAGGCGGUGCGGUAAGUCUUCUGUGAAAUCUCCGGGCUCAACUCGGAGCCUGCAGGAGAAACUGCCGUGCUUGAGUAUGGGAGAGGUGAGUGGAAUUCCUGGUGUAGCGGUGAAAUGCGUAGAUAUCAAGGAGGGAACACCCUGUGGCGAAAGCGGCUCACUGGAC
rnacentral:rRNA from 1 species